CCAGCGAACUUGGCAGAGAUGCCUUGGUGCCUUCGGGAACGCUGAGACAGGUGCUGCAUGGCUGUCGUCAGCUCGUGUUGUGAAAUGUUGGGUUAAGUCCCGCAACGAGCGCAACCCUUAUCCUUUGUUGCCAGCGAUUCGGUCGGGAACUCAAAGGAGACUGCCGGUGAUAAGCCGGAGGAAGGUGGGGAUGACGUCAAGUCAUCAUGGCCCUUACGAGUAGGGCUACACACGUGCUACAAUGGCGCAUACAAAGAGAAGCGACCUCGCGAGAGCAAGCGGACCUCAUAAAGUGCGUCGUAGUCCGGAUCGGAGUCUGCAACUCGACUCCGUGAAGUCGGAAUCGCUAGUAAUCGUGGAUCAGAAUGCCACGGUGAAUACGUUCCCGGGCCUUGUACACACCGCCCGUCACACCAUGGGAGUGGGUUGCAAAAGAAGUAGGUAGCUUAACCUUCGGGAGGGCGCUUACCACUUUGUGAUUCAUGACUGGGGUGAAGUCGUAACAAGGUAGGCGUAGCGAG
rnacentral:rRNA from 1 species